rnacentral:rRNA from 1 species
UACGACCUCAGAUCAGACG